ACUCCUACGGGAGGCAGCAGUGGGGAAUAUUGCACAAUGGGGGAAACCCUGAUGCAGCCAUGCCGCGUGUGUGAAGAAGGCCUUCGGGUUGUAAAGCACUUUCAGUAGGGAGGAAGGUAGUGUAGUUAACACCUGCAUUAUUUGACGUUACCUACAGAAGAAGCACCGGCUAACUCCGUGCCAGCAGCCGCGGUAAUACGGAGGGUGCGAGCGUUAAUCGGAAUUACUGGGCGUAAAGCGCAUGCAGGCGGCCUGUUAAGUCAGAUGUGAAAGCCCGGGGCUCAACCUCGGAACUGCAUUUGAAACUGGCAGACUAGAGUACUGUAGAGGGGGGUAGAAUUUCAGGUGUAGCGGUGAAAUGCGUAGAGAUCUGAAGGAAUACCGGUGGCGAAGGCGGCCCCCUGGACAGAUACUGACACUCAGAUGCGAAAGCGUGGGGAGCAAACAGGAUUAGAUACCCUGGUAGCACAGAG
rnacentral:rRNA from 1 species